CCCACCGCCUACCCGCUUUCUCUCUCUUCUACUUUCAUGAAACCCUAGCAGCUGUCUUAGUUUUCCUCGCCUCUCUCAUGCCAAAAAUGGCAUAUUUACAGACCUGGGCUGCAAUGCACAGCAUUUGCAUGCUUAUUGUGGUUAAAGUGCUAAAGUUUUACUCAUUUUUCAUGUUCUUUCUACCCGACUAUGGUUUGGAGGCACAAAGGCUCCCAAAUCCAUUAUUUUCCUGGCUGCACAUAUAAAAGGUUUGUGCGGCAUCAGGAAUAAAGGGGGGUGAUGACUUGGCCUUCCACCACCUAGUUUGGGGUUUGAGUUUAAGGACAUGAAAAACGCAUAUGCACAUCAUAUGAGCUUAUGAAUAAAUAUGAUAAGUUGCUUGUACAUGUGUAUAAUUAAGUAUAGAAUAGAACUUGUAAACAAUAGUGCAUUGUGUAUAUUGUGUGUGUGUAUCAUGUGUAUGAUAGGAACAGUAAAAUAUAAACUAAUCGGAAUUUUUUGUUUCUUUCCCCCUCUCCACUGUAUGGCCACUUGGUUGGUCCAGCCACCCUAUUGGGUCAAAAGCCCAAUAGGUAAAAUUCUUUCAAGUGUUGUUGAGUCCAAAAGGAAAGAAAGGGAAGCUAAUAUUUUGAAGGCCCAGUCAUGGGUAAAAAUGACACGAAGGUCCAGCCAUGGGUGAAAAUGGUUGGGGUUUGGUACACCCCAAUUUUCUUUCUUCAUUAUAUUUUCUCUAUUAGCUUAAAUUGCUUUCGUGUAUUGUAUUCAUUAUUUGUAAAA